rnacentral:piRNA from 1 species
UGAAGUAGGCCAUUUGGAGGACGUAUCUA